rnacentral:rRNA from 1 species
UGGGGAAUAUUGGACAAUGGGCGCAAGCCUGAUCCAGCCAUGCCGCGUGAGUGAUGAAGGCCCUAGGGUUGUAAAGCUCUUUCACCGGUGAAGAUAAUGACGGUAACCGGAGAAGAAGCCCCGGCUAACUUCGUGCCAGCAGCCGCGGUAAUACGAAGGGGUCUAGCGUUGUUCGGAUUUACUGGGCGUAAAGCGCACGUAGGCGGACUAUUAAGUCAGGGGUGAAAUCCCGGGGCUCAACCCCGGAACUGCCUUUGAUACUGGUAGUCUUGAGUUCGAGAGAGGUGAGUGGAAUUCCGAGUGUAGAGGUGAAAUUCGUAGAGAUUCGGAGGAACACCAGUGGCGAAGGCGGCUCACUGGCUCGAUAAUGACGCUGAGGUGCGAAAGCGUGGGGAGCAAACAGG